UACGUAGGUGGCAAGCGUUGUCCGGAUUUACUGGGCGUAAAGAGCGCGCAGGCGGUCGUUCAAGUCGCGUGUGAAAGCCCCCGGCUCAACUGGGGAGGGUCACGCGAUACUGAUCGACUCGAAGGCAGGAGAGGGUAGUGGAAUUCCCGGUGUAGUGGUGAAAUGCGUAGAGUAUCGGGAGGAACACCAGUGGCGAAGGCGGCAUCCUGGACCGAGAUCGACGCUGAGGCGCGAAAGCUAGGGGAGCAAACGGG
rnacentral:rRNA from 1 species